GACGAACGCUGGCGGCGUGCCUAAUACAUGCAAGUUGAGCGCUGAAGGUUGGUACUUGUACCAACUGGAUGAGCAGCGAACGGGUGAGUAACGCGUGGGGAAUCUGCCUUUGAGCGGGGGACAACAUUUGGAAACGAAUGCUAAUACCGCAUAAAAACUUUAAACACAAGUUUUAAGUUUGAAAGAUGCAAUUGCAUCACUCAAAGAUGAUCCCGCGUUGUAUUAGCUAGUUGGUGAGGUAAAGGCUCACCAAGGCGAUGAUACAUAGCCGACCUGAGAGGGUGAUCGGCCACAGUGGGACGGAGACAAGGCCCAAACUCCUACGGGAGGCAGCAGGAGGGAAUCUUCGGCAAUGGACGAAAGUCUGACCGAGCAACGCCGCGUGAGUGAAGAAGGGUUUCGGAUCGGAAAACUCUGUUGGUAGAGAAGAACGUUGGUGAGAGUGGAAAGCUCAUCAAGUGACGGUAACUACCCAGAAAGGGACGGCUAACUACGUG
rnacentral:rRNA from 1 species